rnacentral:rRNA from 1 species
CUUGGUGUUACUGCGAAGGGGGGACGGAGAAGGCUAUGUUGGCCGGGCGACGGUUGUCCCGGUUUAAGCGUGUAGGCUGGUUUUCCAGGCAAAUCCGGAAAAUCAAGGCUGAGGCGUGAUGACGAGGCACUACGGUGCUGAAGCAACAAAUGCCCUGCUUCCAGGAAAAGCCUCUAAGCAUCAGGUAACAUCAAAUCGUACCCCAAACCGACACAGGUGGUCAGGUAGAGAAUACCAAGGCGCUUGAGAGAACUCGGGUGAAGGAACUAGGCAAAAUGGUGCCGUAACUUCGGGAGAAGGCACGCUGAUAUGUAGGUGAAGCGACUUGCUCGUGGAGCUGAAAUCAGUCGAAGAUACCAGCUGGCUGCAACUGUUUAUUAAAAACACAGCACUGUGCAAACACGAAAGUGGACGUAUACGGUGUGACGCCUGCCCGGUGCCGGAAGGUUAAUUGAUGGGGUUAGCGCAAGCGAAGCUCUUGAUCGAAGCCCCGGUAAACGGCGGCCGUAACUAUAACGGUCCUAAGGUAGCGAAAUUCCUUGUCGGGUAAGUUCCGACCUGCACGAAUGGCGUAAUGAUGGCCAGGCUGUCUCCACCCGAGACUCAGUGAAAUUGAACUCGCUGUGAAGAUGCAGUGUACCCGCGGCAAGACGGAAAGACCCCGUGAACCUUUACUAUAGCUUGACACUGAACAUUGAGCCUUGAUGUGUAGGAUAGGUGGGAGGCUUUGAAGUGUGGACGCCAGUCUGCAUGGAGCCGACCUUGAAAUACCACCCUUUAAUGUUUGAUGUUCUAACGUUGGCCCCUGAUCGGGGUUGCGGACAGUGUCUGGUGGGUAGUUUGACUGGGGCGGUCUCCUCCUAAAGAGUAACGGAGGAGCACGAAGGUUGGCUAAUCCUGGUCGGACAUCAGGAGGUUAGUGCAAUGGCAUAAGCCAGCUUGACUGCGAGCGUGACGGCGCGAGCAGGUGCGAAAGCAGGUCAUAGUGAUCCGGUGGUUCUGAAUGGAAGGGCCAUCGCUCAACGGAUAAAAGGUACUCCGGGGAUAACAGGCUGAUACCGCCCAAGAGUUCAUAUCGACGGCGGUGUUUGGCACCUCGAUGUCGGCUCAUCACAUCCUGGGGCUGAAGUAGGUCCCAAGGGUAUGGCUGUUCGCCAUUUAAAGUGGUACGCGAGCUGGGUUUAGAACGUCGUGAGACAGUUCGGUCCCUAUCUGCCGUGGGCGCUGGAGAACUGAGGGGGGCUGCUCCUAGUACGAGAGGACCGGAGUGGACGCAUCACUGGUGUUCGGGUUGUCAUGCCAAUGGCACUGCCCGGUAGCUAAAUGCGGAAGAGAUAAGUGCUGAAAGCAUCUAAGCACGAAACUUGCCCCGAGAUGAGUUCUCCCUGACUCCUUGAGAGUCCUGAAGGAACGUUGAAGACGACGACGUUGAUAGGCCGGGUGUGUAAGCGCAGCGAUGCGUUGAGCUAACCGGUACUAAUGAACCGUGAGGCUUAACCUUACAACGCCGAAG